AGUGUACGCUGGCGGUAGGCCUAACACAUGCAAGUCGAACGGCAGCACAGUAAGAGCUUGCUCUUACGGGUGGCGAGUGGCGGACGGGUGAGGAAUACAUCGGAAUCUACUUUUUCGUGGGGGAUAACGUAGGGAAACUUACGCUAAUACCGCAUACGACCUACGGGUGAAAGCAGGGGAUCUUCGGACCUUGCGUGAUUGAAUGAGCCGAUGUCGGAUUAGCUAGUUGGCGGGGUAAAGGCCCACCAAGGCGACGAUCCGUAGCUGGUCUGAGAGGAUGAUCAGCCACACUGGAACUGAGACACGGUCCAGACUCCUACGGGAGGCAGCAGUGGGGAAUAUUGGACAAUGGGCGCAAGCCUGAUCCAGCCAUACCGCGUGGGUGAAGAAGGCCUUCGGGUUGUAAAGCCCUUUUGUUGGGAAAGAAAAGCAGCAGGUUAAUACCCCGCUGUUCUGACGGUACCCAAAGAAUAAGCACCGGCUAACUUCGUG
rnacentral:rRNA from 1 species